rnacentral:rRNA from 1 species
ACAAGCGGUGGAGCAUGUGGUUUAAUUCGAUGCAACGCGAAGAACCUUACCUGGUCUUGACAUCCACAGAACUUUCCAGAGAUGGAUUGGUGCCUUCGGGAACUGUGAGACAGGUGCUGCAUGGCUGUCGUCAGCUCGUGUUGUGAAAUGUUGGGUUAAGUCCCGCAACGAGCGCAACCCUUAUCCUUUGUUGCCAGCGGUCCGGCCGGGAACUCAAAGGAGACUGCCAGUGAUAAACUGGAGGAAGGUGGGGAUGACGUCAAGUCAUCAUGGCCCUUACGACCAGGGCUACACACGUGCUACAAUGGCGCAUACAAAGAGAAGCGACCUCGCGAGAGCAAGCGGACCUCAUAAAGUGCGUCGUAGUCCGGAUUGGAGUCUGCAACUCGACUCCAUGAAGUCGGAAUCGCUAGUAAUCGUGGAUCAGAAUGCCACGGUGAAUACGUUCCCGGGCCUUGUACACACCGCCCGUCACACCAUGGGAGUGGGUUGCAAAAGAAGUAGGUAGCUUAACCUUCGGGAGGGCGCUUACCACUUUGUGAUUCAUGACUGGGGUGAAGUCGUAACAAGGUAACCGUAGGGGAACC